rnacentral:rRNA from 1 species
GACGAACGCUGGCGGCGUGCCUAAUACAUGCAAGUUGAGCGCUGAAGGUUGGUACUUGUACCAACUGGAUGAGCAGCGAACGGGUGAGUAACGCGUGGGGAAUCUGCCUUUGAGCGGGGGACAACAUUUGGAAACGAAUGCUAAUACCGCAUAAAAACUUUAAACACAAGUUUUAAGUUUGAAAGAUGCAAUUACAUCACUCAAAGAUGAUCCCGCGUUGUAUUAGCUAGUUGGUGAGGUAAAGGCUCACCAAGGCGAUGAUACAUAGCCGACCUGAGAGGGUGAUCGGCCACAUUGGGACUGAGACACGGCCCAAACUCCUACGGGAGGCAGCAGUAGGGAAUCUUCGGCAAUGGACGAAAGUCUGACCGAGCAACGCCGCGUGAGUGAAGAAGGUUGUCGGAUCGUAAAACUCUGUUGGUAGAGAAGAACGUUGGUGAGAGUGGAAAGCUCAUCAAGUGACGGUAACUACCCAGAAAGGGACGGCUAACUACGUG